GAGUUUGAUUCUGGCUCAGGAUGAACGCUGGCGGCACGGAUAAGUCAUGCAAGUCGAGUGGCGCAGAGUAGCAAUACUUUGACACCACGGCGAACGAGUUAGUAACAUCUUGGUACGUACUCCGAAGUCGGAUAUAACUCGCCGAAAGGCGAAUUAAUUUCCGAUAGUCUCGUAAGGGUAAAGAAGCAAUUCGCUUCGGAAGCGGCCUAGAUCCUAUCAGCUUGUUGGCGGGGUAAUGGCCCACCAAGGCUAUGACGGGUAGGGGGUGUGAGAGCACGACCCUCAACGAUGGAACUGAGAUUAAAUAAAAGUAGUCUCCUAAGAAAGUAAUUUCUUAGUAAAAUCUAGCUUAUAAUGGUGAAACCUUCUGUUGAUAAAUAUUGUAUCCGUAAAUUUACGGGCAUGAUAUUAUUACCAUAUAUGGAGACAACGCCAUGGGAAGUUAAUAGUAAAUAUGUAUCUGAUGGGUAUAUUGCCGGCUUUUUAGAUGGAGAUGGUUCUAUUAGCGCACAUGUUGAAAAGUUGCCU
rnacentral:ncRNA from 1 species